UAGGCGAUGGACAACAGGUAGAGAUUCCUGUACCAGUGCUAAUUGUUUAACCGAUGGGGUGACACAGAAGGAUAGGGAUCGCACGAAUGGAAAUGUGCGUCCAAGCAGUGAGUGUGAGAAGUAGGCAAAUCCGCUUCUCGCGAAGCAUGAGCUGUGAUGGGGAAGGAAAUUAAGUACGGAAGUUCCUGAUUUCACGCUGUCAAGAAAAGCCUCUAGGAAGAGUAGUACUGCCCGUACCGCAAACCGACACAGGUAGAUGAGGAGAGAAUCCUAAGGUGAGCGAGAGAACUCUCGUUAAGGAACUCGGCAAAAUGACCCCGUAACUUCGGGAGAAGGGGUGCUCUAUUAGGGUGCAAGCCCGAGAGAGCCGCAGUGAAUAGGCCCAGGCGACUGUUUAGCAAAAACACAGGUCUCUGCAAAACCGUAAGGUGACGUAUAGGGGCUGACGCCUGCCCGGUGCUGGAAGGUUAAGAGGAGUGCUUAGCUUCGGCGAAGGUACGAAUUGAAGCCCCAGUAAACGGCGGCCGUAACUAUAACGGUCCUAAGGUAGCGAAAUUCCUUGUCGGGUAAGUUCCGACCCGCACGAAAGGCGCAACGAUCUGGGCACUGUCUCAACGAGAGACUCGGUGAAAUUAUAGUACCUGUGAAGAUGCAGGUUACCCGCGACAGGACGGAAAGACCCCGUGGAGCUUUACUGCAACCUGAUAUGGAAUGUUUGUACCGCUUGUACAGGAUAGGUAGGAGCCGAAGAGACGUGUGCGCUAGCAUACGAGGAGGCAAUGGUGGGAUACU
rnacentral:rRNA from 1 species